rnacentral:rRNA from 1 species
GCGAGUGAAGCGGUAAAAGCUCAAAUUUGAAAUCUGGUACUUUUAGUGCCCGAGUUGUAAUUUGUAGAAUUUGUCUUUGAUUUGGUCCUUGUCUAUGUUCCUUGGAACAGGACGUCAUAGAGGGUGAGAAUCCCGUUUGGCGAGGAUACCAUUUCUUUGUAAGACUUUUUCGAAGAGUCGAGUUGUUUGGGAAUGCAGCUCAAAGUGGGUGGUAAAUUCCAUCUAAAGCUAAAUAUUGGCGAGAGACCGAUAGCGAACAAGUACAGUGAUGGAAAGAUGAAAAGAACUUUGAAAAGAGAGUGAAAAAGUACGUGAAAUUGUUGAAAGGGAAGGGCAUUUGAUCAGACAUGGUGUUUUUUGCAUGCACUCGCCUCUUGUGGGCUUGGGCCUCUCAAAAAUUUCACUGGGCCAACAUCAGUUUUGGCGGUAGGAUAAAUCAUUAGGAACGUAGCUUCUUCGGGAGUGUUAUAGCCUAGUGGAAUACUAUCAGCCGGGACUGAGGACUGCGCUUUAUGCAAGGAUGUUGGCAUAAUGGUUAAAUGCCGCCC